CCUACGGGGGGCUGCAGUGGGGAAUAUUGCACAAUGGGCGCAAGCCUGAUGCAGCCAUGCCGCGUGUGUGAAGAAGGCCUUCGGGUUGUAAAGCACUUUCAGCGGGGAGGAAGGCGGUGAGGUUAAUAACCUCAUCGAUUGACGUUACCCGCAGAAGAAGCACCGGCUAACUCCGUGCCAGCAGCCGCGGUAAUACGGAGGGUGCAGGCGUUAAUCGGAAUUACUGGGCGUAAAGCGCACGCAGGCGGUCUGUCAAGUCGGAUGUGAAAUCCCCGGGCUCAGCCUGGGAACUGCAUUCGAAACUGGCAGGCUAGAGUCUUGUAGAGGGGGGUAGAAUUCCAGGUGUAGCGGUGAAAUGCGUAGAGAUCUGGAGGAAUACCGGUGGCGAAGGCGGCCCCCUGGACAAAGACUGACGCUCAGGUGCGAAAGCGUGGGGAGCAAACAGGAGUAGAUACCCCUGUAGUC
rnacentral:rRNA from 1 species